CUAGGCCUAAUUCAACCUUAUGACGAAGAUUGCUAUGGCUGGUGGACGUCAUGGAAACAAGUCUUCAGUGGGUACUUCAGGUCCCAUACAGCAUGCGAUUCAACCUGCAUCUGCUUCCCUGUUAUAUGGAGGACAUAAUACCUCUUUACAAUUUCUUGAACAGACAUUGGAUGGAAAAUUUUGGCUACAAUGGUCUCAAGCUAUGAAAUUGGUGAUUAAAGGAAGAGAAAAAUUAGGGCAGUUCACAGGAGCCACAAAGAAGCCUCCUGAAGAUGAUACAGGCUUUCAAAGUUGGGACUUAGAAGAUUUCAUUGCUAUUUUAUGGCUGAUUAAUCCAACGGAGCUCCAGAUUGAUCAGAUGUACCUAUUUCUACCUAUUUAGCAAAGGAUGUGUGGGAUGCAGUAAAGAGGACUUAUUCAGACCUUAGAAACUCAACCAAAGUUUUUGAAAUCGGGUGUAAAUUGAAGGAGAUCAAACAAGGUAAUCAUUGUGUAACUCAAUAUUACACUGAUCUUCAAGCUUUAUGUUAAGAGUUAGAUUUAUUUAUAAAGGCCAAUUGCUGCCUUGAGUGUACUGUAAAACAGUGAAGGUCAAUAGAGAAGGAAAGGAUGUUUGAUUUUUUUAGCGGGUCUUAACGAGGACCUGGAUGAGUUGCGAGGAAGGGUUCUUGGAAAGGAACCAUUGCCAUCUCUUAAUGAAGUGUUUACUGAAUUCAAAAGAAAAGAGAGCCAGAGAAAGGUGAUGUUGGGAGAAGAGAAUGAUUCAAUCAAUACCCCCGUGGAAGGUUCUACCCUAGCUUCAAAAGGAGGUGAGAAUGGAUACUGUGGGGAGCAGAGAACUGGAAGAAGAGUGUGUUGUGAUCAUUGUAAUAGACUCAGUCACACCAAAGACAAAUUCUGGUUGUUGCAUGAAACACCUGCUAAUUAGAGGCUGGAGGCCUAGGCAAAAUGAUCGAAGGGCCUUUAAGGUUGCAGCAGAUGCAGGAACAAUCUCUAAAAGGGAAGAAUCUGCAACCGCUUCAAUCUCACUUAGCAAGGAACAGACACUAGUUGUGUAGACUUUUGAAUCAAUCACAACAGUCCAACACCAGUGUCGGAUCUUGUAGUCUUGCUCAAAUAGGUAACUUCUUAGCAGCCCUUAGUGUCACAAAGAAUUUCAAAAGCACCUUGGAUCAUAGAUUCAGGUCCUUCAGACCAUAUGACAGGCUGUUUCAUACAAAAAUCAUGUUGCUACUGCUAGAAGUUUGCAGGAGCAUCUGGUUUGGGCUCCCGUGCUGGCCAGAUGGAACAGCACAGAGGCAUCCAUGCAAAGGGAAGAUGCAGAAACCGAGUUGAAGAAUGCUAAAGAGUUCAAGGGCCAUGAUAUGUUGGCACCUUUCACAGCCGGGUGGCAGGCUUCUGAUACAAAUCCUCUAGUAAUAGAGAAGUCUAAGGGUGCCUAUGUCUGGGACAUCAAUGGCAAGAAGUAUCUCGAUUCUCUGGCUGGUCUAUGGUGCACAGCCUUAGGGUUGCAAAGAUAGUCUGCUAGUGCAAAAAUAGAAAAAAUGGCGAAGCUAAUGAACUCUUAUGUGAAAAUCCAGGACAAUAUGUAACAGGUACAUUUUUUUUUUUAAUUUUCUUUUUCUAUACACAGUUUAGAGGUGUUGCAUGUUGAUUGGGUAGUGACAAUCUUAUCAUCACCCUCAUUAACCAUUGUCUUGGUAGUGAUUACUUUCUUGGCAGAAGAAAUGAGAGACAAAGAUGUCCCACUAGGUGUGCAAGAAAUUUAUACACACAAAUAUUGUGAAAGUCCUGCAAAAUUAUCAAAACUAUAGAAAAACAUGUGAAACAAAUUUUUUUAUU